CAACUUUCAGCAACGGAUCUCUUGGCUCUCGCAUCGAUGAAGAACGCAGCGAAAUGCGAUAAGUAAUGUGAAUUGCAGAAUUCAGUGAAUCAUCGAAUCUUUGAACGCACCUUGCGCUCCUUGGUAUUCCAAGGAGCAUGCCUGUUUGAGUAUCAU
rnacentral:rRNA from 2 species